GAUGGUGAGAGCCAGCCCGGGGAGAUGCAGUUCUUGCCCUUGAGUCCGUUGGCUUAACUCUGAAAGGCGACCUGGAGCAGUGGUACCAUUCCUCGGGCAAUCAUCUCCUGCAUCCUGCCCUCCUCAUAAGACCCUAGGACACUGCGGUUCUCUAGGACACUGCAGAUCCCUGAACACCUUGGGGGCCACCAACAAGGGAGGAAAUGACAUGGGAAGAAUGUCAAUGCACAUGUUCGUCCACUGUCCCUCCCACCUCCGGUCCUCAUCACGCAGAGCGGACCCUGUGGUCCACGACUGGCAUCUGGGCUCUGCUUUCCUAUUGCAGAGACCCCUGUGAGCACCCGCCACACCCAGGCCCUGUGCAGCACUCUGCUGUGUAACAGGAACAGGCAGGCAGAGUCCCUGCUCUCAAGGACUCACCUUUAAGGACUGCAUGGGAGACAACAAAAUUAAAAAUAGAGAACAAAAUAGAUGGCAGAGUGCAACGUGCUGUGAUGUCCAUGAGCAGAGGGAAGGAGAGGCACAGAGGCAAAGGGACAGCCGCUUCGUCACAGGCGACCAGAAGCAUUCGUGUGAUGUUCCGCAGUUUCUUCAAUCCCAUUUCAUUUUCUUUUUCUUCCAUCAUAUUUAAGCAAAAUUAAAUUUAUUAUGCUGUAGUUGAAAA